UAAGACAGAGGGUGCAAACGUUGCUCGGAUUUACUGGGCGUAAAGCGCGUGUAGGCGGGCGACUAAGUCGGAUGUGAAAUCCCUGGGCUCAACCUAGGAACUGCAUUCGAAACUGGUCACCUAGAGUGAUGGAGAGGAAAGCGGAAUUCCCGGUGUAGAGGUGAAAUUCGUAGAUAUCGGGAGGAACACCAGUGGCGAAGGCGGCUUUCUGGACAUUUACUGACGCUGAGACGCGAAAGCGUGGGGAGCAAACAGGAUUAGAUACCCUGGUAGUCCACGCUGUAAACGAUGAGUGCUGGGUGUUUCGGGUAUUGACCCCCGAGGCGCCGUAGCUAACGCGUUAAGCACUCCGCCUGGGGAGUACGGCCGCAAGGCUA
rnacentral:rRNA from 1 species